AAACCAAAUACAAUAUGGUGGCGGAUGAAGUUGUUUUUGUUCGGUUCGGGAAACUUCCAAAGGAAAGACCACGAAAAACUGUGUUGAGCAAAGAGGGGCAGAGAUGUCUAGCACAUCAACUCCUAGAGCACAUCAAGCCUGCCUGUGGUUACCAUUGCAAUGUCACACUUCUGUUCCUGGAUGCAACAAGGAGAACUUUUGGCAUUGGUGACAGUAUAAAUAUUGGAUUAAACUAACAAAGUUGCACUUUUUAUCUCAACAUAA